AACUCGGUAGUGUAAUGGACCAACACGGCAGAUCGAAUAUCUGUAGGUGUGGGUUCGAAUCCCGCUUGAGGUU
rnacentral:tRNA from 1 species